UGGCGACAAGCUAUUUUCAAACACAGAAGAAACUCAGCCCCAAGCAAGCAAGAUGGCAAGAUUUCUUGGCCGAGUUCGACUACGUGUUGGAACACAAACCGGGCAAGGCCAACUUUGUGGCGGAUGCGCUUAGCCGAAAAGCAGAACUGGCGGCAAUGUCAAGAGUCCAGGUGGAGCUCUUGGACCUUAUCAAGGAAGGCAUGGCGCAUGAUCCUUUAGCCAAGCAGCUGGGUGGAGCUCUUGGACCUUAUCAAGGAAGGCAUGGCGCAUGAUCCAUUAGCCAAGCAGCUGGUGCAGAUGGCUAAAGAGGGUAAAACCAAGCAAUUCUGGGUAGAAGGCGACCUAUUGCGCACCAAAGGGCAGCGGAUUUAUGUACCCAAAUGGGAGAGGUUGCGCAAAAGCAUCAUUAAGGAGUGCCAUGACACCCGCUGGGCGGGUCAUCCAGGUAAAAAACACACUCAAGCUUUGAUAGAGGCUAACUACUAUUGGCCUCGCAUGCGAGACGACAUAGAGUUAUACGUCAAGACUUGUCUUGUAUGCCAGCAAGACAAGGUGGAGCAAC
rnacentral:lncRNA from 1 species